rnacentral:lncRNA from 1 species
GCAUUUUCCUGUAUAUUUUAGAACCUGCAGUCCAGUUAUCACAAAAAAAUGGAAAACAUGAAAGCUAGAAUUUUUGUAGGGAUUGUAUUGAAUCUGCAUAUACAUUUGGAAAGUAUAAGCAUCUUGGUUUGGAGUAAUUCACCAGUGAAGUCUUCUCAACCUGGGCAAUCAUGUGAGCUUGGAAGAUGAUGCAUCCCCAUCUCAUCUUUCAGGUGAAACCUCAGCCUUGGCCAUCACCUACAUCUGGAUUUCUGACCCAGAGAAACUGCUGGAGUACAGUGGCAUGAUUUCAGCUUACCGCAAACUCUGCCUCCUGGAUUCAAACCAUCCUCCGGCCUCAGCCUCCUGAGUAGCUGGGGCAACAGGUGUGAAGGCUGGUCUUAAACUCCUGACCUCAAGUGAUGGACCUGUCUUGGCUUCCAAAAGUGCUGGAAUUACAGGCAUGAGCCACCAUGCCCUGCUAUGAGGUCUUGUUCCUUUGGCCAGGCUGGAGUGCAGUGGCACAGUCAUCACUCACUGUAGCUUCAAACACCUGGGUUCCAGCAUUCAUCCCACUUCAGCCUCCCGUGUAGCCGGGACUACAGGUA